rnacentral:sRNA from 1 species
UCCUAUUAGAGAUUGCAAAUGUCCCACUUUCUUUUAGAGAAGAUAAUGUGAGACAAAUAACGAAUUAAUUUAUCCCAUGAAUGUAACGUUUCCUCCUUAAUACCAUCCUCACCAUCUCUGGACCUUCAUCUCUCCAGCUCCCCGCCACCCACCAACAAAGCCGUAUUGACUCGACACAAGCAUCUCCCAUUGCUUUCAUAUAUCAGAUGCCCUCUCUUCCACAAGCUGCUUCUCCCAGCGCGACAUCGCCGGAUCUAAUCGCCCAAGUAAGCCUCUGGUGAACUCACGAUCAGAUAACCCUUCCUCCCUUUUUUCCCAAUCCAUCCCUGUUCGACUCGCUUGGCGCCGUAUAUCUUAAUUAUUGCGCCCCUUUCCUAGAUAUCCGCAAAUCUGUCCAACACCCUCUCGACCUUCGGGCGUGGCUCUGCUCAGUAUGCUGCCGUGCUGGAUAUGUUGAGAGGGGCUAUUCAGGAGCUGGAGAUGGAGGGGGGAGGGGAAGAGACGCAAGAUGUUCCCGCUAUAAAUGGUGGUGGUGAUGGUGGUGGUGAAGAAACAGCAAUAGUGGAUGUUAUUGAGGGCCUGAGGAAGCUAUUGGAAAGGGGGUUGAAGGUUUAAUAUCUCAAUGUCUUAUGAAGAACGAUGAUGAAUGAUGAUGACAUUUUGGCUUUUUCUUUUUUCGUCUUUAUCCCCCCUACUUUUAUUGUUUUCACGCAUUUCAGGAGGAAUGCGAAGUAAGAGAAAAUGAUGUAGGACCAAAAAAAAAUGAGAUAUACAUAAAGACUAAAAACAUAAAAA